GUGGGGAAUAUUGGACAAUGGGCGAAAGCCUGAUCCAGCAAUGCCGCGUGUGUGAAGAAGGCCUGCGGGUUGUAAAGCACUUUCAGUAGGGAAGAAAAGCCUGGCGCUAAUAUCGCCGGGUCUUGACGUCACCUACAGAAGAAGCACCGGCUAACUCCGUGCCAGCAGCCGCGGUAAUACGGAGGGUGCAAGCGUUAAUCGGAAUUACUGGGCGUAAAGCGCGCGUAGGUGGUUUGGUAAGUCGGAUGUGAAAGCCCUGGGCUUAACCUGGGAAUUGCAUUCGAUACUGCCUGACUGGAGUGUGGUAGAGGGAAGUGGAAUUUCCGGUGUAGCGGUGAAAUGCGUAGAUAUCGGAAGGAACACCAGUGGCGAAGGCGACUUCCUGGGCCAACACUGACGCUGAGGCGCGAAAGCGUGGGGAGCAAACAGGAUUAGAAACCCGUGUAGUCC
rnacentral:rRNA from 1 species